rnacentral:tRNA from 1 species
GGGCCGUUAGCUCAGCGGUAGAGCGCCUGCUUUACACGCAGGAUGUCGGGGGUUCGAAUCCCUCACGGCCCA